rnacentral:rRNA from 1 species
GGGUUGUGAGGUUAAGCGACUAAGCGUACACGGUGGAUGCCCAGGCAGUCAGAGGCGAUGAAGGACGUGCUAAUCUGCGAUAAGCGUCGGUAAGGUGAUAUGAACCGUUAUAACCG